rnacentral:rRNA from 1 species
UGCCAGCAGCCGCGGUAAGACAGAGGGUGCAAGCGUUAAUCGGAAUUACUGGGCGUAAAGCGCACGUAGGCGGCUAAGCCAGUCAAAUGUGAAAGCCCCGGGCUCAACCUGGGAAGGCCAUUUGAUACUGCUUAGCUAGAGAAUGGUAGAGGUAAGUGGAAUUUCCGGUGUAGCGGUGAAAUGCGUAGAUAUCCGGAGGAACAUCAGUGGCGAAGGCGACUUGCUGGUCUAAUACUGACGCUGAGGUGCGAAAGCGUGGGGAGCAAACGGGAUUAGAUA